UACGUAGGGGGCAAGCGUUGUCCGGAUUUAUUGGGCGUAAAGAGCGUGUAGGCGGCCAGGUAGGUCCGUUGUGAAAACUCGAGGCUCAACCUCGAGACGCCGAUGGAAACCAUCAGACUAGAGUCCGGAAGAGGAGAGUGGAAUUCCUGGUGUAGCGGUGAAAUGCGCAGAUAUCAGGAAGAACACCCGUGGCUAAGGCGGCUCUCUAGUACGGUACUGACGCUGAGACGCGAAAGCGUGGGGAGCGAACAGG
rnacentral:rRNA from 1 species